CAGAAAUUGGAUCUCCAGUUGUAAAACGAUACAUCGGUGAUAAUGAAGAAAGGUGGUACAUGUGGUACCAUGGAAGGUCAUCAGAAUCAGAUGCUGAUGAUGACAACAAUUCAGACCAGAUUGGACUAGCUGUUUCAAGCAAUGGAAUCCACUGGACUCGCGGAUCAGAACCUGUGAGGUCGUGUGAAGAUGUAGGUGUAGUGAUGAAUUGUAGCAAG
rnacentral:misc_RNA from 1 species